UACAGAGGGGGCAAGCGUUAUUCGGAAUUAUUGGGCGUAAAGGGCGCGUAGGCGGCCUGGCAAGUGGAAGGUGAAAUCCCUCGGCUUAACCGAGGAACUGCCUCCGAAACUGCUUGGCUUGAGACCAGGAGAGGUGAGUGGAAUUCCCAGUGUAGCGGUGAAAUGCGUAGAUAUUGGGAGGAACACCAGUGGCGAGGGCGGCUCACUGGACAGUUACUGACACUGAGGCACGAAGGCCAGGGGAGCAAACGGG
rnacentral:rRNA from 1 species